UACCUUAAAGCUAGGGUUAUUAAU
rnacentral:rRNA from 1 species